rnacentral:rRNA from 1 species
GUGGGGAAUAUUGCACAAUGGGCGCAAGCCUGAUGCAGCGACGCCGCGUGAGGGAUGAAGGCCUUCGGGUUGUAAACCUCUUUCGCCAGUGAAGCAGGCCAGGCCUUAUUCGCCUGGUUGACGGUAGCUGGAUAAGAAGCGCCGGCUAACUACGUGCCAGCAGCCGCGGUAAUACGUAGGGCGCAAGCGUUGUCCGGAAUUAUUGGGCGUAAAGAGCUCGUAGGCGGCUGGUCGCGUCUGUCGUGAAAUCCCCUGGCUUAACUGGGGGCUUGCGGUGGGUACGGGCCGGCUUGAGUGCGGUAGGGGAGACUGGAACUCCUGGUGUAGCGGUGGAAUGCGCAGAUAUCAGGAAGAACACCGGUGGCGAAGGCGGGUCUCUGGGCCGUUACUGACGCUGAGGAGCGAAAGCGUGGGGAGCGAACAGG